AGCAGUAGCCACGGGAAUACGUAGGGGGCAAGCGUUGUCCGGAAUUAUUGGGCGUAAGGCGCGCGCAGGCGGUUUUUUAAGUCUGGUGUCUAAGUGCGGGGCUCAACCCCGUGACGCACUGGAAACUGGGAGACUUGAGUGCAGGAGAGGAGAGCGGAAUUCCACGUGUAGCGGUGAAAUGCGUAGAGAUGUGGAGGAACACCAGUGGCGAAGGCGGCUCUCUGGACUGUAACUGACGCUGAGGCGCGAAAGCGUGGGGAGCAAACAGGAUUAGAUACCCCAGUAGUCCCUGUCUCUUAUACA
rnacentral:rRNA from 1 species